GGAAGGGUGGUAGCUCAGUGGUAGAGCAUCUGCUUUGCAUGCGGAAGGCUUCAAUCCCCUCUUCCA